rnacentral:tRNA from 1 species
ACCUGGUUGGCUCAGUCAGUAGAGCAUGUGACCCUUAAUCUCACGGUUGUGAGUUCAAGCCCCACACUGGAGA